rnacentral:rRNA from 1 species
CCUACGGGGGGCAGCAGUGAGGAAUAUUUGUCAAUGGACGAGAGUCUGAACCAGCCAAGUAGCGUGAAGGAUGACUGCCCUAUGGGUUGUAAACUUCUUUUAUAUGGGAAUAAAAUGUUCCACGUGUGGCAUUUUGUAUGUACCAUAUGAAUAAGGAUCGGCUAACUCCGUGCCAGCAGCCGCGGUAAUACGGAGGAUCCGAGCGUUAUCCGGAGUUAUUGGGGGUAAAGGGAGCGUAGGUGGAUUGUUAAGUCAGUUGUGAAAGUUUGCGGCUCAACCGUAAAAUUGCAGUUGAAACUGGAAGUCUGGAGUACAGUAGAGGUGGGAGGAA